rnacentral:lncRNA from 1 species
CUAAAGAUUAUAAAUAAAAAUACAAGAGUUGAUCAAGUGAGAUUUGUUAGAAACAAAACAACACAAAGAAAUAGUUCGUCUUUUAGGGAUCUCAACUAAGUUAAUUAAAGUUAGAGUUAAAUAAGAUUAGUUAACACAUAAUCAAAUAAUUAGAAGAGUAAACGAGAUAAUGAAAUUGGGCCCCUUCUUGGGCCAAUUUCGCUAUAUUUUUAAGCUUCAAUCUCAUUCCCGUUUUGCGUAUACACUGGAUGUAUAUCAGUGUAUAUGAGCAUAUAUAUUAGCUCUUUUCAUGUAUUUCUCACUUCCGAACACCUGUGUUUCGCCUUCUCCCUGUGUUUUCGCAUUUUUGACCUGUAAUUCGCUGUAUAAUGAGUGUAUACUGCUGUAGACAGCUCGUUUCUCAGCCUUUUUUCAGCUUUCUGAAACUUGUUUUCAAUUUCCAGCCCUGUACAGCCCUAUUCAGAUGACCCGGUUAACUUAAAGAAAAGAAAAAUCGGGCCCCUAUGGCCCAAUCAUUGAAUGCAACGAGAGGGUGGAAGCCCAUGAGGGCUCGGACAUAUUUCACAUGCAAUAAAAAGGAUGAUAAGAAAUUAGAAUUGUCAUAAACAAUAAUUAAAUGUGCAAUCAAUGGGAUGUAAGAAGGUAAAUAUCUAAGAUACAAGACAAAACAUGAUAUCAUUUGACUAAACAAGCAAACUAAUUUAAAGAAAUUUACUACAUUUAUCGAAAACGAGUAUUCGCACAACACAUCCUUUAAUAAAACUAAGUCACAUGGUGGUGCCCAAUCAAAGCCACAUGCCAAGCUUCAUCAACUCAUUUUGAAUCUAUUGCUAUGCCAAAAUUCAUGCUUAAUCUAAUUAAUGUAAAAUAGACUAACCAACAUGGAUAGACCAAUUUUAAGAAUUGAACCUACAACACUAUCUUAAUAAGGAGCAAGGCCUAAAGAAAGGUAGCAACAAGGUUUAACAGAAUGAAUAAGAGCAUUAAUAUUGUUGACAAAAUAGUCCUCCUCAAAUGUCCACUAUAUACUAAUGCAAUAUUUUUCAAAUGAUCAGAGAGAAAAUAAAAUAAAAUAAAACAAAAUCAAUAAAGCAUCACAAUGAACUUGAACAUCAACUGAUAGAGAUUACAUAUUCAACAUACAUCUAAAGAUAAAGAACUAUACUAAUCCUAAAUUUAUUAAAGUAAAAUUAGGCCAUAUAGAAAGCUUCUUAACUAGAUGAAUAUAUAAUAUAAUAUUAACUAAAUGAUGUACAUAAAAGUCAACAGUGAACUAAAUGGAUUGAUUGCUAGACAAAAUUGCACAAAGGCAUGAAAGCUAUGGUGGAAAACUAUCAUUUUGAACACAUCUAGAUAUAACUCCUACUAUUAAACUUUAAGAACUUAACAUCUAUAAGGAACAUUUCUAAGUUAAUGGGCAAAAUAAAUAAAAAUAAUCCAACUCACCUCAAAACUAAACCAACUACACGUUUUAAAAGCUCAUGGCAUUAGGUGGCAUUCCAAAACAGGGAACAAAAGUAUAUGACAACUACCUUAAAGGACACAUGAGAGGGUAUAGAACACAUUAAGGGAAGCAACAACGACUAAUCUAAUUUGAACUUGAGAGCCUAUUUAUUUAUUGAUUAUUAGCAACAUAUCAAGACUACAUUGAACGUUAAUAAACAAACCAACAAAUUUGGGGCACUCACUAAACAUGAUCAAUGCUACAGAAUUGAAGUUGGAUAACUUUAAAGGCUAGUAAUCAUCUACUCUUGCACAAUAAUAAAACUAGCAAAAUCUGGAAGUACACUACUUAACAGAGAAAAACAAGGUGGUAAAAUCUUACACUUCAACUAUUGAGCCCUUUUAACCACAUCAAACAGAUAGUCAAGAUUUAUCAUGAAAGUAGACUUUUAACAUGAUUGAAUUGAAUGUAGAUGCUUGCUACACGGUUAGGAAACAAAGUUUUCACGAAAAGGAUUAGAGACUUUAGCAUCGAGGCUGUGGAUCGUGGAAACAAGCAGGUUAUAAUAAUACUACGCCUUGAAGCCAAAAAAGAACAAAACAAUAGCAAGACAUGGACAACAUUCUAGUAUGUAAAAGCAGCAAUUGGAUUUAAAUAGCAUGAGAUUGAGCAAAUAUUGAUAAGAGUUUAUUAUAAUGAAUAAAAAGCGACAAAGGGGACAACCAAGGCUACGAUUAAGCAGUGAAGAAAUAGAACUUAUACAUUUAGCACACUCAAAGUUGAAACCAAUCGAACAGUGGAUCAUCUCGAGCAAACUAAACAAGUUCAGCUGGCUUUAUAGAUACAAAAUCGAGCCAACAAGUCUAAGGACUAACAUACAACACUAAAGUGACUUCAUCGAUGCUUGAAUCAUGUUUACUGCUCAAAAAACUCACAGGAAAAUGGUACUAAAGAAAAGACUUAAAAGCGUAGGAACCGAACGUUCUUAAUAACACACUCCAUACCAAGUAUCGAACACAUAGCACACCAUAUCGAAAACAGAACAUAAGAGGAGGCGAAGUUACCUUUUUUGGAGCAGCGAGCUGGGACGAACGAGCUUAGAAGAGAGCGACUUCUCACACGACUUUAAUCUGGGGCAGUAAACCAAGAAAUUCAAACCAACUUCGAACAAAAGACCUUCUCGAAACUUUAGACGUCUGAAAUUUCCCAAGUGUAAAAUUUAUCGUUCAAAGAAUUCUUUUUUUUUUGCCCCCCCAAACAGUGAUCAAAAGAGAUGAUUAUAUAACUGGAAAAUCGGGGGAAAUCGGGUGAAUUUUUCAAUUUUAAAUUCGGACUUCUCUGCCUCUUUUCAAGAUAACAGUGGAAAGGAUUCGAAAAUCCCUGAAAAGGGGGAAAGCAGGGUGACGAAGUGACCAUCUAGACCACUAGGUUAUGGGUUUUGCA